AUUUACAAACAUGCUACGUGAGUCACAGAGGACGUGCAGAUGAUCCCAGCCUCAGCAAAUGCUUGCAUCACUAAUAAAUGAUGAAUUUGAUGGGCAAAUGAGCAAAAGGGUGAAUACUAAGCUGGAGAAAUUCAACAAGUUUCUAUUAAGGAUGAUGAAAUUAUACUAUGUCCACUCACAGCAGCAAGGGUUUGGGCCCACUGGCUUUAAUUAUGUUUUUCCUGGUGUACAGCAGUACAAAUGACAGAAAAAAAACAACCCUGGGAGAAAGACAGUCAAGCAGUAGGAAUGCAGGUGUGAUAUAUAGGGUUAGGUAUAUAGGAUUAGGAUGUGGUGUAUAGAAAUAGAGUUAGGUAUGGCUGUCAACGUGGUUUGAAUUGUUUAGUGAGUUUCUCUGCUCAGUGUACACAGAAUUUCAAUGAAGCAAUGUUGCAAAAAGUUCCUUCAUCCAGGGCUUUUGUCAGGUUAGGGUGAAACUGGACAGCUAGAUUGUGGAAGGUCAUUCCUAUCUGCUAGAAAGAGCAGCAUGGAAGAAGGUGCGGAUAUGUUUGAGAGAUAAGAACGAGAAAGGAGUAUUAUGUGAAGGACGACUGAUGUAACAAUGAAAACAUUUGCAGUGAUGUUGUUAACAGAUGUAGGAAAAUGUGAAUAUUUUUUUUUAUUGUUCUUUAAUUUAAAUUCCUGUUGUUUUCUUUACAGUGCCAAUAAUUCCUUAGUCUUCCUUGUCCAUGUAUUAGAUGAGAUUCUCACAGAAGAGAUGCUUUUGUGCCACAUCUCACUUUUAUGCUGUGAUACAGAUGCAGAGAACCUAUGGAAGUCCUCCAAAGCACUAUGUGUUCCAGUAAAGACUGAAGAUCUUAAUUCCCUCAGCCCUGUAACCCGGUUUGGGUGGAGGAAGUAGGGAUGAAAGGACAGAAGGAAAAGGAGAGGGAGGGCAGAAGCAUAAGAGCAAGCUUUUACUUGCUUCACUAACAAGUGAAGAUAAAAGAUGAAAGGAAAGGAGAGAGACAUAAAUUAAGAGAAGUGAUGGACUACGAGUAAUGUGAAACAAUUCAUGAUAUUUUGGCCCCACAAAGGUCCUGUUUUCUGCAAACAAGACAAAACAAGGAAAUGGGCUAUCAUCCCUGCCUUUCAAUGCAGCAUGUCCUCUUGACAGGACUCUUGUUGCCUGUACACAGAGAAAAGUACCUGUUUACAACUGGUAAAGCAACCAGAUUUAACUUAAGGUGCAGACUUCCUGGGAAGCGUAGUCUCCCCACAAGCCCCUCUCCAUGUUCUGAAAUUCAGAAUUCAGCUAUUCCCAGAGCAGCAGCAUGUUCUGUUGCUCUAUUCCAGGAACCUGUCACAAGGAUCCAAAAAUGACCUUGUGUUUAGCAGAACUAGUUUCUGUUGCACCUGCUUAAAGAGGUAGAACAUACCAGGAAGAAACACUGAGAAGAGAACCAACAAGAUCAGGGAUCAAUUUAGGACCAGGGAGCCUGCAUGGCUGCACUGUGGGCGGCCACCGAUCGAGUCUCUGCCUUCACAAUGAAGAUUGAAAUGUGAUAAAGUGUGUAGGUCACGGUCAUGAGUAGCUGAGUGCUGGCUGUUACAUGAAAGUUGACGUUCUCUACUAGCAGCCACUGUUUGUUUUUCACUGUUGACACAGGGCUGAGAUGUUGUGUCUUGUUACUAGCUCUACACAGAAAGUGCUACUUCCUUACUCAGUGCGUGCAAAUAUUUACUGGAUCUUUGGACAACCAGGUGGAUCAGUCCAAAGGAGACACUCAGAGAAGUACAUACAGUAGGGUAACUCCAAGGUCAUGUCUAAGCUGCUACCAGUUUUUCUGUGUUGUCACUGUAUGAAAAUAAUAGGCAUGGCAAGGAAAUUGUUAACCCUUUGGGUUGUCGCAUCUACUACAACUUUUAGAGGAACUGAGAAACUUGUAAUUCAGUUUCUUGGCCUUAAUUGUUCAAAAGCAAGCAUUUUUUUAUUUUUAUUUUUCUUCUUUUUUUGUAUUAAUUGAAUAAUCAUCUCCAAAAAUGAGACCUUUAGAACCUGUCAGGUUGAUGUCUUUUGAUUAGAAUUACUCAUCACUUUGUUUUUACAUAAGUCACUCUUUAAAUAUUUUGUUUAUAUUGAUAGAUACAAUGUGAACAAAACUUGUUGUAAAUUUAUUUUAAAUUAUACCUAUUUUGUAAUAAGCCACUUUUUGACAUCCAUAUUGGUUUGGCUGAGAAGUGUGAAAUAGUUUAAUUGCUAUUACAUUAUUCUAGAG